rfam:Eutrema salsugineum unplaced genomic scaffold scaffold_1, whole genome shotgun sequence.
UAUCCAUGGUGUGGACAAUCUCUUUGGUUUUCCCUAAAUCUUUCCCAAGUAUCUAAAAGAUCUUCAUCUUCUUUUUGCUUAAAAGUUCUUAUCUUUUUUCUUAAGAGA